UAUAUAUAUAUAUAGCAAAGUUCAAAAACAUAAGACUUAAACAACAUAAGUUCUUAAAGAGUAUAACUAUUUAAACCUUUCCUGUUUUUUCUAAAAACCCAAAACCUUCCGUGUUUUUUUAGAAAAUCCAAAAUUGUGCCCUAUCUUCUCUCUUCUCUCAUAACUUCUCUAUUCUCAACAAAUCGAAAUCGCGUCUACACUGAGAAGGAAAAAGCAGAGCCAUCUUGUUUAAAUCGAAAUUGUGCCCUAGCUGCUCUCUUCUCUCCAAAUCGACCGCUUCACUCCAAAUCCUUGCUAGGUAAACCCAAAUCUCGUUGUGGAUGUGUUCAUGUAUGUGUAUAUAUGUAAUAGAUUCUUUUUCUUUUUCCUUCUAAUUUUUCUGUGAUGCCCUAUUGAGUAUAUGUUUGAAAGAUAUCCAAAAAGAGAUCCCCUGCCAUUGUUGUUCUUCACCCCUCUCGCUCUCUUCUUUCUAUCUCUCUUAAAAAACAGAAAUAUUACCAAACCCAGAGAGUUUAGAGGCUUAAAACGAGAGAAAAGAUCUUUAUUCAAUAUAUACUACUACUACUACUUAGUUAGUGCGGAGCUGUGAUCGUGUGGAUAAUAUAUAUAUAGAGGAGUCCAUAUAUUGCGGACUUCCAACUACCUCAAACUAGCCAAUUUGGUCAAUGAGUAUGAAUGGCUUAUCAACACAAUUAUAUAAAAUAUAUUUAUUAAUUGGAAAUUGAUGUAUUUGUUAAUUGGAAAAUUAAUGUAUUUUAUGACAAAAAUAUUACUCAUGGACUCAUUAAUAGAUUAUUCAUAUAUGUGUAUUUUUUUAUAUUUAAAUUAUAAACAUGUAAAAUUAGUUUAUCAUAUAAAUAAUAAUUAUAUAAUAUGUUACUAUAAUUUAAAUUUUUCGAAUUUACUUACAAUUAGAUAGAUAAUGUAAGAUGCUAGUUAUACAUAUCAUUAUAUGUGGAUGUGUUCAUGUAUGUGUAUCAUAUAAAUAAUAAUUAUAUAAUAUGUUACUAUAAUUUAAAAUUUUCGAAUUUACUUACAAUUAGAUAGAUAAUGUAAGAUGCUAGUUAUACAUAUCAUUAUAUGUGGAUGUGUUCAUGUAUGUGUAUGUAAUAGAUUUUUUUUCUUUUUCUUUCAAAUUUUUCUGUGAUGCCCUGUUAAGUAUAUGUUUGGAAGAUUAUAAAACUUGAAUAGUCUCUGGCUCUUCCUGAAUAGUCCAAAAGUUUUAGUUUCCAUCUUUGAUUUAGUUUUGAAUUACAUUAUGAUUUAUUUGAACAUUGAAUGUAUGUGGAAUAUUGGACCAGUACUACUAAAAUGGGAAAUGUCAGUGGAGUUAUGAAGAAAAUUUUCUUAAAGGGACCAUGGUUAUGGUAGUGGGUUUUGUACCUACAUCUAUAUAUUUGCACCAAGUGAUUAUCAUGAUGAUGGAGGUAUUCGUGUUCAUGCUUCUGAAUAUCUAAAGCAGUUCCCCUCUCUUAUUUUAUCUGUCAUUGCUAAUUAAGUUCAUAUCAUUUGUUUGUGGUGGAUUUGCUGCUAUUUUGAUCAUCAUAGCAUUUCUGGAGGAGUCCCUACUGGAAGGCCAUGUAAUGUAUUUCCUUUAAAAUGUCUUUGUUAGUUCCCGGAGGCACAAUAGUUAUCUAGAAAUGGGGGGAGGGUUGAAUAGAUAUUUAAAAAUCUUUUCGUUUUAACUUGUUAAUUGAUAAUGAUUAAAACUUAGCGGAAUUAAUAUUUGUUUUAAUCUCCCUUAAGAUGGUGAGUUUACGAGAGUGAGGCAGUUAUAGCAGUUAUGGCAGAUAUGACAGUUAUAGCAAAAAUGUAAUAGACACGGUCGUUUUAAGUGGUUCAGAGCACUUAAAGCUCCUAGUCCACUCUUCUACUCCUUGAGUAGGAAAUCCACUAAGGAUGUCUUUUACACUUUCUGAAUCACACAGAUUCCUUCUAGACCAACAGUCUAGGAACUUCUUAGUUCAUUUUUGAACUCUUCAAGUCCAGCAGACUUGGCUCUUCACAGUUCACUUAGAACUCUUCAAGUCCUUCUGACUUGGAACUCUUACUUCAGUUGAUUGGUAGUUGUUGAGUUCUUGAACCGCUACUCAGUUGCUGUUAAGCACUUGUUCGAAAGAACUAAGUAGCUGAGCAAGCUUUUCUUUUUUUCAGAUCGUAGAGUUGAGCGUUGAGAGUUCUUGUACGUUUUGUUCAAUGCUUGCUUGCCUCUUUCAUCCGCAUAUCUUUUGCAUAUAUGUGAUCUUGAAAUCUUUCCGUUUGAUCCAUCCAUUGAAGCAUUAAAUGCGUUUGACAUUUCUGUACUUUGAUAGAGACUUUUCUACACAUCUUCUGAAUUGCAUUCUGGCCCACUGACACAGCAGACUGCUUUCUCACCUAACACCUGAAAAGGUGUUUUUCUCUUACCAAUGGUACUUUCCUUAGCUUCUUCAAUACGCUUCUUUGUUGCAUACUAAGGAUGUCUUUUGUACCGUUGGAACUGGUGGGGACUUCAACGUUUGAAACCCAUUCUAUAUUUGUUGGAGAUAUAUCUUCAAACAAAAAGGUAGGGCUCGAUACUUCUGACACACGGCUGAUGAUACUCUACGAUCCAGAUCGUGGUGUCUUGUUAUUUUGGUGCUUGGUCUGAUUCCAUCAAACAAGAGCACUACGAUUUUUCUUAAUGACUUACACACUACGAUCUUCACUUGCUAACUUUGUAAGCUCUACGUUUCCGAGAGCACACUACGAUCUCUGAGUUGGCUCGGUAAACGUUGGUACCACUCUACGACUUCAAAAGAGGCCCUUAAGGCAGGCACACUACGAUCCUCGAAGCUCUACGUUCUGCCUUGGCUUCUGUAAUCUUGAUCAGCUUGAUACACUACGAUCUCUUCGAAGCCUAUCUAUUACAUCUCAAGAUCAACCUAACAGCUUUGAUCUCUUUAUUUAUACAUUUAUUUACAGAAUGAUACACAUUAAGAACUUAGAUCAACCUAACAAAUUUGAUCUAUCACUAAGUCCUUGUACAUAUAUUCCUUGAAGGACUUUACAAAUAAUCAUGAGCAUUUAUAUUUAAACAUCAAAUCAAAAUAUGCACUCUCCCAAUAAUCUGUCCCUAUUUGAUGUUGACAUAACCAAGAAGAUUUGUUGUCAUGAUUAUUAGUUUCUAGAUGCAAUUGCAGGAAAGUAAACAUGACUUAGUAUUUCAGUGAGCAGCUGAAAUUUCUAGAGAAUAAGCAUGAAUUUAUUGAUGUUCGAAGAAUUUUACAAUUUAGCUUUACAUCAAUAAGAAUUAAAACUUCACUUAUCUCUAUUUCCUUGAUCUUUUGCGAGGAGGAUUGGCAUACUCCUCAGCUCUUCUUUUCCUGCUUGCUUCAUUCCACCUGGCUAGAUCUUCCAGCUCACUAGGGCUUAGCCUAGGAUUUUGAUCAUGUCUAUUCAUGAAUGCAGGAUCUCCAGUUGGCAUUCGCUAAGGCCUGUGGUGGUGACAUUUUGUGAGUUAGUAGCUGGCCCUAUACUCCUUAUUGGCUGAGCUAUUAAAAUUUCUAGCUGAUCAAGUCGUUGAGUCUGAUGGCUGGAUCGUGGAGUCUGUUGGUGAAAUUUUGCAAAUUGAUGUGGAGGAGAUGAAGAGUUAUCAUGAAAAACACCAAAGUUGAUACAUUGUUCUUCAGAUUUUAUCUAAAAAGGUGUGUCGUGAAUUUUUUUUCUUUAUUUUGGAGAAUGAUAUUUGUUUAUCAUUUUUAUAAGUAUAUAUACAUGAAUGGUAUAUAUGUGAUGUACUAUAUCAUGUGUUGAUGAUAUUUGCAUGUGUGAGUAUUAUUUUACUUAUGAUCUUAAUUAUAUAAUAAAUUAAUUUGAUUAGUUUUAUUUGAUUUGAAAAUAAUUUGAUUGUUCAUG
rnacentral:lncRNA from 1 species